CAGCCGUCUCGAGUUACCAGCAGGUUUCAUUGAAAACAGAUCCUGCAAAAGUUCCAGGUGCCCACACUGGAAACUUGGAGAUCCUGCUUCCCAGACCACAGCUGUGGGGAACUUGGGGUGGAGCAGAGAAGUUUCUGUAUUCAGCUGCCCAGGCAGAGGAGAAUGGGGUCUCCACAGCCUGAAGAAUGAAGACACGACAGAAUAAAGACUCGAUGUCAAUGAGGAGUGGACGGAAGAAAGAGGCCCCUGGGCCCCGGGAAGAACUGAGAUCGAGGGGCCGGGCCUCCCCUGGAGGGGUCAGCACGUCCAGCAGUGAUGGCAAAGCUGAGAAGUCCAGGCAGACAGCCAAGAAGGCCCGAGUAGAGGAAGCCUCCACCCCAAAGGUCAACAAGCAGGGUCGGAGUGAGGAGAUCUCAGAGAGUGAAAGUGAGGAGACCAAUGCACCAAAAAAGACCAAAACUGAGGAACUCCCUCGGCCACAGUCUCCCUCCGAUCUGGAUAGCUUGGACGGGCGGAGCCUU
rnacentral:lncRNA from 1 species